rnacentral:misc_RNA from 1 species
UCGAGUUUUGAAGUGGGUCAUUGAGCUGGCUUUUCACGAAGCACCGUGCUCGGGCCCCGCUCCAUCCACUCAACCCCUGUGCACUUUCGAUGGCGUGGUUCUCGUUAUGGUGGUGUCCAUUCACUUGGACAUCGGAGGCCGCGACGUCGUCUUAUCACAAACUUAUUAUCAUAGUCUUGUCGAACGUGGAUGCUCGUAAGAGCGGAAACACAAUA